rnacentral:lncRNA from 1 species
GUUAGUUGAAAAAUGAAAAAGAGAUUUUGUUACCUCGUCCGCAUCUUGCAUCGAAUAGUUGUCUGUCGAACUUCUUUAUUCUUCUUUCUUCUCUCUUCCUCCUUUUCUUUUUUCCCCCUUGUUUCUUUUUCUCUUCUCUCUUCUUUUUUUUUUUUUAUGACGUCCUAAGGUCAUUGGUGGUCCCUUUUAUUUGUAUUGGAUUGUCAUUUGUCGAGCUCCUUUUCGAUUUUUAUGCCGUUCGAAGGUACCCGAUUGCUAUUGCACCAACCCAUCUUUUCCGUCAACGGCAGCAGGCUCGCCCGGGGCCAUUCGGGCUUGGGGUCCCUCUUAGGGCUUGAGUCCGG